rnacentral:lncRNA from 1 species
AGAGGCCAUGCUUCAGGUUGGACCGUCUUCCAUAUAUCUACUGACUUCAUAUAAAUGAAAGUGUACUAAGGACUCGCUGAUCUGCACUACCAGCUCAUGUUCAACGUUACUGAACAACAAAGUAAUCCGACAAUCAGACUGGACCCGGUCACGUUAGAUACCAGAGGAAGACGAAAAUAUAAUUGAUUCUGUACUGAUGCAUGACUUCGCUCGGAACGCGGCAAGAAUUAACAAUGGAAGAAAAUAC